rnacentral:lncRNA from 10 species
AAAAAAAAGAAAAAAAACAGACAUACUGCCCCUUCCCAAGGAGCUUACAUAGGAGAUAAAGGCAGGUAGGGAAAAAUUAUUGGCAAUUCAGUGCAACAGGUGCACUGAUAAAGUAACAUCAAGGUGGCUUAGCUCCUCAAAAAGGUGCAUGACCCGAUCUAGAUCACAAAGGGCUCCCCUGAAGCAGUGACAGCUAAGCUGAACUCUGAAGUUCCCACGAAGAAGUGGGGACAAGAAGCAGGGGGCCAGUCAGCAAAGUUGAGGUGCUCAGUUCAAAGUGCAUAUCAAAGAUGAGCCUGGACAGGGAUCAGGAGGAACCUGAGAGGUCGUGAAGGUCCUUGUAAGCUGUCUUGAGCCAUCUCACCUCCCUCCUGAGCCUCUCACUGGGGCACAUGGUGUGUCGGAGCCCCAGAUGUGAGGGUGAGAACUAUACCGGGGAAGCAGCGUCUUCAUCUCCAGUGAGCUCAUCUCACUGUCUCCCUUCUCCAACAAGACACCGACUGCUCAGAGACACACAGAAUUGCGUGGAAGUGACUGAGACAGCCUCUCUGGAGGUUGGGUCAUCAGUUGGAAUUCUUCUCUCCAGUUGGGCCUUUGGGCCACCCCCAUGACAUCUUCAUUCUUUCUUUCCUGCUGGCCCAAGCUGCUCUCUGCUGGUGGUCAAGAUGAUUCAGGUAAGGAUGACAGAGCAGGCACCUCUUUCUUCAUCCCUUUUCUCUGCCUUCUGCUAAGAUCAGCCAACUACUAAUAAACUCCUGCCCAGAAAAUUUUACUUCCUGAAAGCUUUCAGAAAACUUACAAGUGGACCAGUCACUCCUUCAAGAAGCAUGGACUUGAGGUCAAGUGCACGGACUUUCCAUGAUACCAAGAGGGUUUAGGGGUAGGGGAGUUACACAGUCAAGGCAGGAGAGGAGAGCUGCUUUUUCCUGAAGUAGCAGCUCAUACAUUCCCCACAGCACUGCCGCUUUCCAGAAGGUUUCAUGCUUGGUCUUUCCCGAGUCCAAGCUGGCAUCGGAGAAGAACAGGAAUGGCUCUCAGUGCUUGGCAUAGCCCCGUGCAAACUCCAGUGAGUGUGUGCUUGAAGGACAGGUGCCACAUCAGCACUGGAUCGGCUUCCUAGGGCUGCAGCAGCAAAAUGCCACAAACCAGAUGGCUUAAACUGACAGAAAGUUAUACUCUUGCAGUUCUGGAGUCUAGAAGUCUAAAAUGAAGGGGCCAGCAGGGCCGUGCCCCCACUGAAGGCCAUAGGGGAGAAUUCUUCCUUCAGUCUUCUGGCUCUG